AACCAUGCCCUGUGCACAGUUGCUCCAUAAUCUUCUUAAAAGCAACAAGUUCAUUUAAGGUGUGAAAAACAUUGCUGAAUAAAUUUUACUUUUCCAACAACAAACGAAACAAGGUAAACUAAGAAUGAAAAUAAUAUUGACUUUUCUAAUCGUCAUGGGAGUCCUUGCUGUUGCCCAUGGGGUUUAUCUUCAAGCAUGCGACAAAUCGUGUAAGGAUCCCAACAACCGGUUCAACGAGGCUGUCCGAGAAUGCUGUCGAGACAAAGGAUAUCGCACAAAUGGGUGGUGUCGUCCAGGAGAUUACUCGUGGUGUCUGUACUAAAGGGGGGGUCAUGCACAUAUUGAAACAUUAUUAACAUAUUUUUUGUCGAUGUCAUGAAGUGUUUUAGAUGCACUUAAUAAAUCAAAUGUUUUAGAUGGAUCA